rnacentral:tRNA from 1 species
CAAGGUAUAGCUUAACAUAAAGCAUCUGAUUUACACUCAGAAGAUCUCAAUAUUGCUUGAUGACCUUGA